CCCUGCUGAGUGCCAGGAGGACGACCUUCCCUGAUAGCGGAGGACCAUUUCCUCCAUCAAGGGCCUAUGAGGAGCUGCGCUGUCCUGCUAGAACCUACAAACAGUUCCCGAGGUCCACAGUGUUACAGAGAAUCAAGAGC
rnacentral:sRNA from 1 species